UACGUAGGUGGCGAACGUUAUCCGGAUUUACUGGGUGUAAAGGGCGUGUAGGCGGGACUGCAAGUCAGAUGUGAAAACCACGGGCUCAACCUGUGGCCUGCAUUUGAAACUGUAGUUCUUGAGUACUGGAGAGGCAGACGGAAUUCCUAGUGUAGCGGUGAAAUGCGUAGAUAUUAGGAGGAACACCAGUGGCGAAGGCGGUCUGCUGGACAGCAACUGACGCUGAGGCGCGAAAGCGUGGGGAGCAAACAGG
rnacentral:rRNA from 1 species